rnacentral:rRNA from 1 species
UACGUAGGGUGCAAGCGUUUGUCCGGAAUUAUUGGGCGUAAAGAGCUCGUAGGCGGUUCGUCGCGUCGGCUGUGAAAAACCUGAGGCUCAACCUCAGGCCUGCAGUCGAUACGGGCGGACUUGAGUACUGCAGGGGAGACUGGAAUUCCUGGUGUAGCGGUGAAAUGCGCAGAUAUCAGGAGGAACACCGGUGGCGAAGGCGGGUCUCUGGGCAGUAACUGACGCUGAGGAGCGAAAGCGUGGGGAGCGAACAGGA